rnacentral:lncRNA from 1 species
AACCAAUUACGCGAAUUCUUGUCAGGAAAUUCCAAAAAAAUUUCAACCUUUUGGUGCAGAAAGGGGUAAGUGACAAAAUCAUCGAUAAAGCUCAUGAAAAGGCCUAAAGGACAUAUCCUAGCCUGAGGAACCAGUGGAGGUCACGUGCAUCACAUGUGACUUACCUUCAGCAUGUGUUCAAGGAACCCCACGUGUGAAUAGACUCACUGGCACAUGUGGGCGCACAACCUAUAUGACACAGCACACCAAGUGUGUAGACAAGUUGGCAUGCCCCGUGCGCACAUGCAAACGCACAGGCUCACACCAUAUGCGUAAGCAUGCAACAUGUGCACAUAGCAGGCGUGACGCCCAGCAGGCCAGGCCCAGCCCUUGCCCUCCACGUAUGCAGUACGCUAGCCUGCAUAUACCCUGGCACAGCAAGUAAGGUGCACGCCAAGCAUGCAGCAGGCUGAGUGCACACCUAGCGUCCAGUGUACACGCAGGCCCAACCUGAGCUGGCAGCCUAACCAGCGCUGUUAACCCA